UGGGGAAUAUUGCACAAUGGGGGAAACCCUGAUGCAGCAACGCCGCGUGAAGGAAGACGGUUUUCGGAUUGUAAACUUCUGUUCUUAGUGAAGAAUAAUGACGGUAGCUAAGGAGCAAGCCACGGCUAACUACGUGCCAGCAGCCGCGGUAAUACGUAGGUGGCAAGCGUUGUCCGGAAUUACUGGGUGUAAAGGGAGCGCAGGCGGGAAGCCAAGUCAGCUGUGAAAACUACGGGCUUAACUUGUAGACUGCAGUUGAAACUGGUUUUCUUGAGUGAAGUAGAGGUUGGCGGAAUUCCGAGU
rnacentral:rRNA from 1 species